rnacentral:rRNA from 1 species
UACGUAGGGGGCUAGCGUUGUCCGGAAUUAUUGGGCGUAAAGAGCUCGUAGGCGGCUUGUCGCGUCUGCUGUGAAAACGCGGGGCUUAACUCCGCGCUUGCAGUGGGUACGGGCAGGCUUGAGUGUAGUAGGGGAGACUGGAAUUCCUGGUGUAGCGGUGGAAUGCGCAGAUAUCAGGAGGAACACCGAUGGCGAAGGCGACUUGCUGGACUUCAACUGACGCUGAGGAACGAAAGCGUGGGUAGCAAACAGG